rnacentral:rRNA from 1 species
GAUGAACGCUGGCGGCGUGCCUAAUACAUGCAAGUCGAGCGAACAGACGAGGAGCUUGCUCCUCUGACGUUAGCGGCGGACGGGUGAGUAACACGUGGAUAACCUACCUAUAAGACUGGGAUAACUUCGGGAAACCGGAGCUAAUACCGGAUAAUAUAUUGAACCGCAUGGUUCAAUAGUGAAAGACGGUUUUGCUGUCACUUAUAGAUGGAUCCGCGCCGCAUUAGCUAGUUGGUAAGGUAACGGCUUACCAAGGCAACGAUGCGUAUCCGACCGGAGAGGGGGAUAGGCCACACUGGAACUGAGACACGGUCCAGACGCCUACGGGAGGCAGCAGUAGGGAAUCUUCCGCAGUGGGCGAAAGCCUGACGGAGCAACGCCGCGUGAGUGAUGAAGGUCUUCGGAUCGUAAAGCUCUGUUAUUAGGGAAGAACAAAUGUGUAAGUAACUAUGCACUUCUUGACGGUACCUGAACAGAAAGCCACGGCUAACUACGUG